GCCGUGAUCGUCUAGUGGUUAGGACAUUGCGUUGUGGCUGCAAUAACCCAGGUUCAAAUCCUGGUCACGGCA
rnacentral:tRNA from 1 species